rnacentral:rRNA from 1 species
UACGUAGGGUGCGAGCGUUGUCCGGAAUUAUUGGGCGUAAAGAGCUUGUAGGCGGUUUGUCGCGUCUGCUGUGAAAAUCCGGGGCUCAACCCCGGACUUGCAGUGGGUACGGGCAGACUAGAGUGUGGUAGGGGAGACUGGAAUUCCUGGUGUAGCGGUGGAAUGCGCAGAUAUCAGGAGGAACACCGAUGGCGAAGGCAGGUCUCUGGGCCACUACUGACGCUGAGAAGCGAAAGCCAGGGGAGCGAACGGG